rnacentral:rRNA from 1 species
ACGCACGCUGGCGGCCUGCCUCACCCAUGCAAGUCGCACGCGACCUUCGGGUCUAGUGGCGCACGGGUGCGUAACGCGUGGGAACCUGCCCUUAGGUUCGGAAUAACUCCCCGAAAGGGGUGCUAAUACCGGAUAAUGUCUUCGGACCAAAGAUUUAUCGCCUUUGGAUGGGCCCGCGUUGGAUUAGCUAGUUGGUAGGGUAAAAGCCUACCAAGGCGACGAUCCAUAGCUGGUCUGAGAGGAUGAUCAGCCACACUGGGACUGAGACACGGCCCAGACUCCUACGGGAGGCAGCAGUGGGGAAUAUUGGACAAUGGGCGAAAGCCUGAUCCAGCAAUGCCGCGUGAGUGACGAAGGCCUUAGGGUUGUAAAGCUCUUUUACCCGGGAUGAUAAUGACAGUACCGGGAGAAUAAGCUCCGGCUAACUCCGUG